rnacentral:rRNA from 1 species
CCUAUGGGGUGCAGCAGUGGGGAAUUUUGGACAAUGGGCGCAAGCCUGAUCCAGCAAUGCCGCGUGCGGGAAGAAGGCCUUCGGGUUGUAAACCGCUUUUGGCAGGAACGAAAAGCUCUGGGCUAAUACCCUGGGGUGAUGACGGUACCUGCAGAAUAAGCACCGGCUAACUACGUGCCAGCAGCCGCGGUAAUACGUAGGGUGCGAGCGUUAAUCGGAAUUACUGGGCGUAAAGCGUGCGCAGGCGGUUGUGCAAGACAGGCGUGAAAUCCCCGGGCUUAACCUGGGAAUGGCGCUUGUGACUGCACGACUGGAGUGCGGUAGAGGGGGAUGGAAUUCCGCGUGUAGCAGUGACAUGCGUAGAUAUGCGGAGGAACACCGAUGGCUAAGGCAGUCUCCUGGGCAUGCACUGACGCUCAU